GCCUUCAUGGUGUAGUGGUCAGCGCACUCGAGCCGUAUUUGAGAGGUCCGUGGUUCGAAUCCCGGCGAGGGUU
rnacentral:tRNA from 1 species